rnacentral:rRNA from 1 species
UAGCAUGUGCGCGAGUCAUUGGGAUACAAUAAACCUAAAGGCGCAAUGAAAGUGAAUGUCUGUUUACGCGGACUUAGGGAAGAUAGGUGCGUACACACUAUGUGUGUACAACCUCGCACUCCCGGGGCGUCUCGCACUCAUUGCGAGGUGGGGCGCACCUAGAGCGUACACGCUGGGACCCGAAAGAUGGUGAACUAUGCCUGGUCAGGACGAAGUCAGGGGAAACCCUGAUGGAGGUCCGUAGCGAUUCUGACGUGCAAAUCGAUCGUCGGAACUGGGCUUAGGGGCGAAAGACUAAUCGAACCAUCUAGUAGCUGGUUCCCACCGAAGUUUCCCUCAGGAUAGCUGGCACUAGAUUAUGGAUGAGUCUCAUCCGGUAAAGCGAAUGAUUAGAGGCAUUGGGGUCGAAACGGCCUCAACCUAUUCUCAAACUUUAAAUGGGUGAGAUCUCCGGCUUGCUCGAUUUGUGAAGCCGGAGAUCGGAUCAAUUAGUGCCAAGUGGGCCACUUUUGGUAAGCAGAACUGGCGCUGUGGGAUGAACCAAACGCAGAGUUAAAGCGCCAAAAUCGACGCUUAUGGGAUACCAUGAAAGGCGUUGGUAACUUAA